UCCUACGGGGCGCAGCAGUAGGGAAUCUUCCACAAUGGACGAAAGUCUGAUGGAGCAACGCCGCGUGAGUGAAGAAGGGUUUCGGCUCGGAAAGCUCUGUUGGUAGUGAAGAAAGAUAGAGGUAGUAACUGGCCUUUAUUUGACGGUAAUUACUUAGAAAGUCACGGCUAACUACGUGCCAGCAGCCGCGGUAAUACGUAGGUUGCAAGCGUUGUCCGGAUUUAUUGGGCGGAAAGCGAGUGCAGGCGGUUCUAUAAAUCUUGUG
rnacentral:rRNA from 1 species